UACGAAGGACCCGAGCGUUAUCCGGAUUUAUUGGGUUUAAAGGGUGCGUAGGCGUCCUGGAAAGUUACGGUUGAAAUCUCCUUGCUCAACAAGGAAACUGGCCGUAAAACUAUCAGGAUUGAGUACAUUUGAAGCGGGCGGAAUGUGUCAUGUAGCGGUGAAAUGCUUAGAUAUGACAUAGAACACCAAUUGCGAAGGCAGCUCGCUACACAUAUAUUGACUCUGAGGCACGAAAGCGUGGGGAUCAAACAGG
rnacentral:rRNA from 1 species